rnacentral:rRNA from 1 species
CAAUAGCGUAUAUUAAAGUUGUUGCGGUAAAAAAGCUCGUAGUUGGAUUUCUACCGAAGAUUGCCGGUCGGGUCUUCGACCUUGUAUCUGGUUUUGUCUUUGGUAUCCUCAUAGGGAACGUUUCUGCGCUUUAUUGCGUGGUGCGGUAUCUAUGACUUUUACUUUGAGGAAAUUAGAGUGUUCACGGCAGGCAAACGCCUUGAAUAUAUUAGCAUGGAAUAAUAACAUAGGAUCUUCGUCCUAUUUUGUUGGUUUCUAGGGCUAAGAUAAUGAUUAAUAGGGAUAAUUGGGGGCAUCUGUAUCAACGCGUCAGAGGUGGAAUUCUUGGAUUGCGUUGCGACAAACUACUGCGAAAGCAUUUGCCAAGGAUGUUUUCAUUGA